rnacentral:rRNA from 1 species
AACGAACGCUGGCGGCGUGGAUAAGACAUGCAAGUCGAGCGCUAAUUUCAGGGUAGCAAUAUUCUGGAGUUGGAGCGGCGCAAGGGUGCGUAACACGUGGGCAAUUUACCGUGAAGCCUGGAAUAACUCGCUGAAAGGCGAGCUAAUACCGGAUGUGAUUGUUGGAGGGCAUCCUCUGAUAAUUAAAGUUGGGGAUCGUAAGACCUGACACUUUUCGAUAAGCCCGCGGCCUAUCAGCUAGUUGGUGAGGUAACGGCUCACCAAGGCUAAGACGGGUAGCUGGUCUGAGAGGACGACCAGCCACACUGGAACUGAGACACGGUCCAGACACCUACGGGUGGCAGCAGUCGAGAAUUUUUCACAAUGGGCGAAAGCCUGAUGGAGCGACGCCGCGUGGGGGAUGAAUGGCUUCGGCCCGUAAACCCCUGUCAUCUGGGAACAAUGCUUCCGACCCAACACGUCGGAAGUUGAUAGUACCGGAAGAGGAAGGGACGGCUAACUCUGUGC